AUGAACGCUGGCGGCGUGCCUAAUACAUGCAAGUCGAGCGAACGGACGAGAAGCUUGCUUUUCUGAUGUUAGCGGCGGACGGGUGAGUAACACGUGGAUAACCUACCUAUAAGACUGGGAUAACUUCGGGAAACCGGAGCUAAUACCGGAUAAUAUUUUGAACCUCAUGGUUCAAAAGUGAAAGACGGUCUUGCUGUCACUUAUAGAUGGAUCCGCGCUGCAUUAGCUAGUUGGUAAGGUAACGGCUUACCAAGGCAACGAUGCAUAGCCGACCUGAGAGGGUGAUCGGCCACACUGGAACUGAGACACGGUCCAGACUCCUACGGGAGGCAGCAGUAGGGAAUCUUCCGCAAUGGGUGAAAGCCUGACGGAGCAACGCCGCGUGAGUGAUGAAGGUCUUCGGAUCGUAAAACUCUGUUAUUAGGGAAGAACAUAUGUGUAAGUAACUGUGCACAUCUUGACGGUACCUAAUCAGAAAGCCACGGCUAACUACGUG
rnacentral:rRNA from 1 species